CAGUGUUACAGCUCUUUUAGAAUUUGUCUAGCAAGUUCUCUGGUCUUCACUGGAAAACCCGU
ensembl:snRNA U7 U7 small nuclear RNA